ACUCAACAUUAAAAAAUUUGGAAGGGUGAGUUUAGGUUGCAAAAGCGUGCCGUUUCCGACUCGUCGGAACUACGGAUACUUGAACAUCCUGUUAGCCCUAAACCUGUUCUUAAGGAGUUU
rnacentral:sRNA from 1 species